AAUAGCGUAUAUUAAAGUUGUUGCAGUUAAAAAGCUCGUAGUUGAACCUUUGGCCUGGCUGGCAGGUCCGCCUCACCGCGUGCACUUGUCCGGCCGGGCCUUUCUUCUGGAGAACCGCAUGCCCUUCACUGGGUGUGUGGGGACCAGGACUUUUACUUUGAAAAAAUUAGAGUGUUCAAAGCAGGCUUUGCUCGAAUACGUUAGCAUGGAAUAAUAGAAUAGGACGUGCGGUCCUAUUUUGUUGGUUUCUAGGACCGCCGUAAUGAUUAAUAGGGACAGUCGGGGGCAUCAGUAUUCAAUUGUCAGAGGUGAAAUUCUUGGAUUUAUUGAAGACUAACUACUGCGAAAGCAUUUGCCAAGGAUGUUUUCAUUAAUCAGGAACGAAAGUUAGGGGAUCGAAGACGAUCAGAUACCGUCGUAGUCUUAACCAUAAACUAUGCCGACUAGGGAUCGGGCGGUGUUCUAUUGGACCCGCUCGGC
rnacentral:rRNA from 1 species